AGGUGUGGGUGGAUGUUUUACAUUAUAUUCUUAUGAUACAGGGUGUUUUUGUAAAAACAUCCUGGGUGCUUUUAAAAACACCGCUGCCAGCGGGUUUUUUUCACUGCUCUGGGUGGUUUUCAAGUUGGGAUAAAUUCAACUCGCCAAGAAAAAGCACCCGACGUCAGGCAGUUUUUUGACAGCUGACCAAUGAACGAGAACCUACGUCAAUAGGAAAAACUUUGGAAAUACAAGAAUGGCGACCCAAACGUCUUUCCCGACGGAGCAACUUGUUGUUAUUGUCAGUGAACAUGUUGAGUUGUAUGACAUGACCAACAAAUUAUACCACAACAUACAUCACAAGGAGAGUAUCUGGAGGACGAUCGGUGGGAUUUUGGGACAUUAGUAUUACAUUGGAUGACACAAUGAGUAGUCAACCUGGGCCUGGUUCUUCAAAUGGCAGUUCAUCUAGGCCCCCACCUCAUUCAUCUAGGCCCCCACCCUCUCCAUCUCCACCCCCACAGCCACCUCAACAAGAACAGCAGCAGGAAUUCGGGCCCAUGAGAGCUCAAAGAGGGAGGAAGAGGCAGGCCACUGCAACCAUAACCCCCUAUCAGCAACAGGUCCUCAGUGCCAUUGCUAAAGAGGAGAAUGAGCAUGAGCGUUUCCUGCUGAGCUUUGCACCCACACUGGCAAGGUUGGAGCCUCGCAAACAGGCAUUGCUAAAGUGUAGAAUGCAGUCUCUUUUUUAUGAAAUCGAAUUUGGAGAAUGAAUGAAAUUAUUAAAUUAAAUUAUUACAUUUAAACACAAC